rnacentral:rRNA from 1 species
AGUGAACGCUGGCGGCAGGCCUAACACAUGCAAGUCGAGCGGCAGCGGGUUCCCGCGAGGGGAUGCCGGCGAGCGGCGGACGGGUGAGGAACACAUCGGAAUCUGCCUGGUUGUGGGGGAUAACGUAGGGAACUUACGGCUAAUACCGCAUGCGACCCUGAGUCGACGGACUGGGGGUGAAAGUGAGGGACCUUCGGGCCUCACGCGACCAGAUGAGCCGAUGUCGGAUUAGCGUAGUUGGCGGGGUAACGGCCCGCCAAGGCGACGAUCCGUAGCUGGUC